rnacentral:rRNA from 1 species
UACAGAGGGGGCAAGCGUUAUUCGGAAUUAUUGGGCGUAAAGGGCGCGUAGGCGGCUUUGCAAGUGGCGGGUGAAAUCCCUCGGCUUAACCGAGGAACUGCCUGCCAGACUGUGAGGCUUGAGACCGGGAGAGGUGAGUGGAAUUCCCAGUGUAGCGGUGAAAUGCGUAGAUAUUGGGAGGAACACCAGUGGCGAAGGCGGCUCACUGGACCGGAACUGACGCUGAGGCGCGAAAGCGUGGGGAGCGAACAGG